AGAGCGAACGCUGGCGGCAGGCCUAAUACAUGCAAGUCGAACGGAUCCUUCGGGAUUAGUGGCGGACGGGUGAGUAACACGUGGGAACGUGCCCUUUGGUUCGGAACAACUCAGGGAAACUUGAGCUAAUACCGAAUGUGCCCUUCGGGGGAAAGAUUUAUCGCCAUUGGAGCGGCCCGCGUCUGAUUAGCUAGUUGGUGAGGUAAAGGCUCACCAAGGCGACGAUCAGUAGCUGGUCUGAGAGGAUGAUCAGCCACACUGGGACUGAGACACGGCCCAGACUCCUACGGGAGGCAGCAGUAGGGAAUCUUGCGCAAUGGGCGAAAGCCUGACGCAGCCAUGCCGCGUGAAUGAUGAAGGUCUUAGGAUUGUAAAAUUCUUUCAGCGGGGACGAUAAUGACGGUACCCGCAGAAGAAGCCCGGCUAACUUCGCGCCAGCAGCCGC
rnacentral:rRNA from 1 species